AACGAACGCUGGCGGCGUGCCUCAGACAUGCAAGUCGAACGAUUAAAGUUCUCUUCGGAGAGUGCAUAGAGUGGCGCACGGGUGAGUAACACGUAAGUAAUCUACCUUCGAGUGGGGAAUAACGUCCGGAAACGGACGCUAAUACCGCAUAAUGCAGCGGCAUCGCAAGAUGACAGUUGUUAAAGAUUUAUCGCUUGAAGAGGAGCUUGCGGCAGAUUAGCUAGUUGGUAAGGUAAUGGCUUACCAAGGCUACGAUCUGUAACCGGUCUUAGAGGACGGUCGGUCACACUGACACUGAAUAACGGGUCAGACUCCUACGGGAGGCAGCAGUCGGGAAUUUUGGGCAAUGGGCGAAAGCCUGACCCAGCAACGCCGCGUGAAGGAUGAAGUAUUUCGGUAUGUAAACUUCGAAAGGAUGGGAAGAAUAAAUGACGGUACCAUUUAUAAGGUCCGGCUAACUACGUGCCAGCAGCCGCGGUAAAAC
rnacentral:rRNA from 1 species